rnacentral:miRNA from 1 species
AAGUUCGAUUUGUACGAAGGGC